rnacentral:tRNA from 1 species
UGGAGUGUAGCUCAGUCGGCAGAGCAAGUGGCUGUUAACCACUGGGUCGGGGGUUCAAGUCCCUCCACUCCAGCCA